rnacentral:lncRNA from 1 species
GCGACUCAAAACCCGUGGNNNNNNNNNNNNNNNNNNNNNNNNNCUUAGACCUCAAUAUGGGGGUCCUAUGUCCUCCUUGUUGGGCAUUAGUAGGAUCUGGGCCUCAUUUCCCCUCCAUUUUGGGGCCAUUCCCCUCCAUUUUGGGGCCAUUUCCCCUCCAUUUUGAUGCCAUCUCCCCCCAUUUUGAUGCCAUCUCCCCCCACCCUUUCUAACUUGCCCAAUUUCCCCUCAUUUCACCCCAAUUUCUCUCCCCAGUUGGCGGCCAACGCCGCGGUUACGACAACCGUAUCUACGGGCAGCAGCAGUAUUGGGGCCAGCCUGGAAACCGCGGGGGUUACCGUAAUUUCUACGACCGUUACCGGGGAGAUUACGAGCGAUUCUAUGGCCGCGAUUAUGAAUACAACAGAUACCGGGAUUACUACAGGCAGUACAACCGGGAGGUCAGCAAUGCCCCAAAAUCCACUUUUUUUACCCCAAAAUCCCCUUUUUUUGCCCCAAAAUCCCCAUUUUUCACCCCAAAAUCCCUCCUCACCCUUCACCCUAUUGCCUACAUAGGGAUUUUCACCCCCAAAUCCCCUUAUUUUCACCCCCAAAUCCCUUUUUUUUACCCCAAAAUCUCUUUUUUCACCCCAAAAUCCCUUCUAUUCCGUCCUCCCCCUUCACCCUAUUGCCUACAUAGGGAUUUUCACCCCAAAAUCCCCUUUUUUUACCCCAAAAUCUCCCUUUUUCACCCCAAAAUUCCUUCUAUCUCAUCCUCCCCCUUCACCCUGUUGCCUACAUAGGGAUUUUUGCCCCAAAAUCCCCUUAUUUUUACCCCCAAAUCCCUUUUUUUACCCCCAAAUCCCCAUUUUUCACCCACAGAUCCCCCCUCACCCUUCAUCCUAUUGCCUAUAUGGGGAUUUUCACCCCAAAGUCCCCCGUUUUUACCCCAAAAUCCCCUUUUUUCACCCCAAAAUCCCUCCCCAUCCCAUCCUCCCCCUUCACCCUAUCACCUACAUGGGGAUUUUUGCCUCCAAAUCCCCUUAUUUUUGCCCCCAAAUCCCCUUUUUUCACCCCAAAAUCCCCGUUUUUCACCUCAAAAUCCUCCCCCAUCCCAUCCUCCCCCUUCACCCUAUUGCCUACAUAGGGAUUUUCACUCCCAAAUCCCCUUAUUUUCACCCCCAAAUCCCCUUAUUUUCACCCCAAAUCCCCUUUUUUCACCCCAAAAUCCCCCCCCAUCCCAUCCUCCCCCUUCACCCUAUCACCUAAAUGUCGAUUUUUGCCCAAUUUUUACCUUUUUUCCCUUAUUUUUCUAGUGGCAAAACUACUACCAGGACAGAGAUCGAUACUACAGGAACUACUACGGCUAUCAGGGCUAUCGGUGAAGUCCCAAAAUCGGCCGUUUUUGACCCAAAAUGGAACCCCGAAAUAAUCCUAAAAAUUAAGAGGAAAAAAAAAAAAAACCACAAAAAUGAAAAAACCCAAAAAAAACAAAAAAAAAGACAAAAAAAAAGAGAUAAAAAAGGGGGAUUUUGGGGUCGGGGG